GACGAACGCUGGCGGCGUGCUUAACACAUGCAAGUCGAACGAGUGGCGAACGGGUGAGUAAUACGUGAGUAACCUGCCCUCUUUUUGGGAUAAGCCUUGGAAACGGGGUCUAAUACCGGAUAAAGGGGGAUGGGCUCGCGGCCUAUCAGCUUGUUGGUGGGGUGAUGGCAUACCAAGGCGGUGACGGGGAGCCGGCCUGAGGGGGUGACCGGCCACAGUGGGACUGAGAUACGUCCCAGGCUCGUACGGGAGGCAGCAUUGGGGGCGAUUGCCCAAUGGGCGAUAGACUGAUGCAGCGUCGCCGCGUGGGGGAUGAAGGCUUUCGGGUUGUAACCCUCUUUCGCGAGCGAACGGGUACGUGGAGAAGAAGCGCCGGCUAACUACGUGCCAGCAGCCGCGGUAAUUC
rnacentral:rRNA from 1 species